rnacentral:rRNA from 1 species
AACGAACGCUGGCGGCAUGCCUAACACAUGCAAGUCGAACGAGACCUUCGGGUCUAGUGGCGCACGGGUGCGUAACGCGUGGGAACCUGCCUUUAGGUUCGGAAUAACUCAGAGAAAUUUGAGCUAAUACCGGAUGAUGUCUUCGGACCAAAGAUUUAUCGCCUUUAGAUGGGCCCGCGUUGGAUUAGCUAGUUGGUGGGGUAAAGGCCUACCAAGGCGACGAUCCAUAGCUGGUCUGAGAGGAUGAUCAGCCACACUGGGACUGAGACACGGCCCAGACUCCUACGGGAGGCAGCAGUGGGGAAUAUUGGACAAUGGGCGAAAGCCUGAUCCAGCAAUGCCGCGUGAGUGAUGAAGGCCUUAAGGUUGUAAAGCUCUUUUACCCGAGAUGAUAAUGACAGUAUCGGGAGAAUAAGCUCCGGCUAACUCCGUG